CUUACACAUAGUUUUUUUUAUGUUUCAGUUUCUGACAGGAUUAAAUAAGAUGCCACGGGUUAAUUGGGGGAGAUCUGAAGGUGGCAUUGGAUUUUCUGAUUCCAGGAAAGAGUCGUGGCUUCUUCUAUUUCACAGGCAGCGCAGGAGAGGCAAGGAGGAAGAUGGAGGAGCAUGGCGGCGCUCGGGAGACAGCUCUGUUUCACUUCAAAGAUGCUGCACAGCCUGGCUUGCUCCAAACUGCCCCACCAAAGAAAAGUUCAGACCUCUAGCAUGCAAAAGCUGCCGUAGCGCUCCAGCUGUGAAGCUCUGUCUUGGGAACCUCCGCCCGCUGCAGACGAGGAUUUACAUUUCUUUGAUGAUCUACCCACAUCCACCACCGUCCUGCCUUUUAGGCUGCUGUGAGUGCGGGGGGGGGGCUCCUAGACAUCAGUGCUGCAAAGAAGGGAACCCUGGGAACCAUUUUAGGAGGAAGUUGAUGC
rnacentral:lncRNA from 1 species